rnacentral:lncRNA from 1 species
CUCUCGAGUAGCUGGGACUACAGGCGCCCACCACCACGCCCAGCUAAUUUUUUGUAAUUUUAGUAGAGACGGGGUUUCACCGUGUUAGCCAGGAUGGUCUCAACCUCUUGACCUCGUGAUCUGCCCGCCUCGGCCUCACAAAGUGCUGGGAUUACAGAAGUGAGCCACUGCUCCCGGCCUAUGAUGGGUCAGUGUUUUAAAAAGCUCUGUGCGCCUGGAUGAGUGCCAGCCACCUCCAAAUGUCAGACAGAGUCUUGCUCCGUCGCCGUCGCCCAGACUGGAGUACAGUGGUGUGAUCUCAGCUUACUGCAACCUCCACCUCCUGGGUUCAGGUACUUCUCCUGUCUCAGCCUCCCGAGUAGCUGGGAUUACAGGCACAAGCCACCAUGUCCAGCUAACUUUUUUAUUUUUUUUAGUAGAGAUGGGGUUUCACCAUAUAGGCCAGACUGGUUUCGAACUUCUGAACUUGUUUCCCACCUGCCUUGGCCUCCCAAAGUGCUGGGAUUACAGGCAUGAGCCAUUGCGCUCAGCCACCUUGAUUUUGUUGAAGGGCACAAACCACUUAUUUUUUGGAAUGCCCUUCAGUUGGAAAAAUCUAAUAAUUGCUUCUAAUGAGAAAUAUAGUAUACAUUUCUUGCAGCAAUUCUACAGAAGUAAUGCUAAUUUUUUCAAUGUGUCAUAACAGGAGUAAUAUGCCAUCCCUUAAUCCCUUUCCGGGAAUUAUUAAUGUCUAUUGUUUGGUUAAAAUUUUAUCUGUCUAUUGAUUUCACUUUAAAGUUACUAUUUUAUCUUUUAUAAUUAAUAAGCACUUUAGAGGAUGAUACUUUUGAUACUAGGUAAAUAUCACAUUACUCCUAAAACUUUUACUUAAUGGUUUUCAUGUUUAAUGAAUUUUGCCU